GCUGGGUGUGGUGGCUCACACCUGUAAUCCUAGCACUUUGGGAGGCCGAGGUAGGCGGAUUGCUUGAGCCCAGGAGUUUGAGACCAGCCUGGGCAACAAAGCGAGACCCUGUCUCUA
ensembl:misc_RNA Metazoa_SRP Metazoan signal recognition particle RNA